CCAUGUCAAUCCCCGGUAUGUCCGCUGGAACCCAAGCGAAAACGUCUGCAUUCUUUCGUAGGAAAUUGAUGAGACGCAUCCACACCUCCUCCCCCAGGUUGGAGUCGAUCAUCACUACAUGCUCCGUGUUCCCGUCGUUCAAAGGGAUCGGUACCAGAUCUUCAAUUGGAACGCCCCUCUCUUCAGUGAGGUCAUCGCGAGCAUCCAGUCCAUCGACUGGACAGGGGUCAGAUUGGUCGCUUCUUUGUAGGGCUAUGUUGUAACAGUGUCUGGCCAAGGCUUGGUCUCCUCAGACCUUUCCGAUCCCCUGGUUGGUGGGGAAUUUCAACUUCAAAUGGUAGGUUGAUACGAUGGCUCGGAGAGCAUUGAGGCCAGGU
rnacentral:lncRNA from 1 species